CGUGGUCUCUAGGCAAAUCCGGAGAUCUUAGAUGAGGGGUGAUAACGAGGAAGCUUGCUUCCGAAGUGAGUGAUACCCUGCUUCCAGGAAAAGCCACUAAGCUUCAGUUGCACACGACCGUACCGCAAACCGACACUGGUGCGCGUGAUGAGUAUUCUCAGGCGCUUGAGAGAACUCUGGAGAAGGAACUCGGCAAAUUGACACCGUAACUUCGGAAGAAGGUGUGCCUUUAGUAGGUGAGCCAUUUACUUGGUGAGCCCAAUGAGGCCGCAGAGAAUCGGUGGCUGCGACUGUUUAUUAAAAACACAGCACUCUGCAAAGACGAAAGUCGACGUAUAGGGUGUGACGCCUGCCCGGUGCUGGAAGAUUAAAUGAUGGGGUGCAAGCUCUUGAUUGAAGUCCCAGUAAACGGCGGCCGUAACGAUAACGGUCCUAAGGUAGCGAAAUUCCUUGUCGGGUAAGUUCCGACCUGCACGAAUGGCGUAACGAUGGCCACACUGUCUCCUCCAGAGACUCAGCGAAGUUGAAAUGUUUGUGAUGAUGCAAUCUCCCCGCGGAAAGACGGAAAGACCCCAUGAACCUUUACUGUAGCUUUACAUUGGACUUUGAACAGAUCUGUGUAGGAUAGGUGGGAGGCUUUGAAGCGGUGCCGCUAGGUGUCGUGGAGCCAACGUUGAAAUACCACCCUGGUGUGUUUGAGGUUCUAACCUUGGCCCGUUAUCCGGGUUGGGGACAGUGUAUGGUAGGCAGUUUGACUGGGGCGGUCUCCUCCCAAAGCGUAACGGAGGAGUUCGAAGGUACGCUAGGCACGGUCGGAAAUCGUGCUGAUAGUGCAUUGGCAUAAGCGUGCUUGACUGCGAGACUGACAAGUCGAGCAGGUACGAAAGUAGGACAAAGUGAUCCGGUGGUUCUGUAUGGAAGGGCCAUCGCUCAACGGAUAAAAGGUACUCUGGGGAUAACAGGCUGAUACCGCCCAAGAGUUCAUAUCGACGGCGGUGUUUGGCACCUCGAUGUUGGCUCAUCUCAUCCUGGGGCUGUAGCCGGUCCCAAGGGUAUGGCUGUUCGCCAUUUAAAGAGGUACGUGAGCUGGGUUUAAAACGUCGUGAGACAGCUUGGUCCCUAUCUUCCGUGGGCGCUGCAAGAUUGAGAGAGCCUGCUCCUAGUACGAGAGGACCGGAGUGGACGCACCUCUGGUGUAUCGGUUGUCACGCCAGUGGCAUUGCCGAGUAGCUAAGUGCGGGAGAGAUAACCGCUGAAAGCAUCUAAGCGGGAAACUCGUCUCAAGAUGAGUCUUGCCGGGGCCUUGAGCCCCCUGAAGAGUCGUUCGAGACCAGGACGUUGAUAGGUCGGGUGUGGAAGCGCAGUAAUGCGUUAAGCUAACCGAUACUAAUUGCUCGUGAGGCUUGACCCU
rnacentral:rRNA from 1 species